AUGCACGCUGGCGGCGUGCCUAAUACAUGCAAGUCGCGCGAACAGAUGAGGAGCUUGCUCCUCUGACGUUAGCGGCGGACGGGUGAGUAACACGUGGAUAACCUACCUAUAAGACUGGGAUAACUUCGGGAAACCGGAGCUAAUACCGGAUAAUAUAUUGAACCGCAUGGUUCAAUAGUGAAAGACGGUUUUGCUGUCACUUAUAGAUGGAUCCGCGCCGCAUUAGCUAGUUGGUAAGGUAACGGCUUACCAAGGCAACGAUGCGUAGCCGACCUGAGAGGGUUAUUGGCCACACUGCAACUGAGACACGGUCCAGACCCCUACGCGUGGACGCAGUAGGUAAGCUCCCGCAAUGGGCGAUAGCAUGUAGAAGCAACGCCGCGAGAGUGAUGAGGGUCUCCGGGUCGUAAAGCUGAGUGAUGGGGGAAGAAAAAAUGUUUAAGUUACUAUGCACGUCUAGACGGUACCUAAGUAGAAGGCCUCGGAUAACUACGUG
rnacentral:rRNA from 1 species